AAUGAGCUUCUAUUAACUCCUGGUCUUUCAAGUCAUUUUCUGUUCUGCCAAACUUGUGCCUUUUCAGACAGAUCACUAUCAGUGAGUAAACAAUUGUUCAAUUAAAGACUGGUAUUAUGUGCUCUAUAUUGGGAAUUUCAAAUGAAUAGUUCUGACAUAUUUUCUUCAGGAGAUUUUUCCGGAGCUUGAGUAAGCAAUUGUAUCUACUUAUUUUGUUAAAUCAGAUUUGUAGCACCCGAUAUGUUUAGGCAGUAGACUUAUUGGUCCAGAGAAGGAUUCCCAUGAUUCACCAAAAAAUUGUUGUACUAGGGAGUUUGCUUGUUCUGAUAGAAAUAGUAGUAAGGUGUGUAUUUGUACGUAUAACAUGUUUGGUUAGAGAGAGACUUGGAUAUUUCUCCAUCCAUAUUUUACUUGUUCUGAUGUAGACAUGCAAACAAGCCAAGAAAGAUCUCUAUGGAAUAAUGUUCCUGACAAGAGAUGGGGCUUUGUUCCUAUAUUACGAUUUUUGGGACCCUACAUUCUUUUAUCUAUAACAUUUAUGCUUUACGAGCUGCAUUUAUAAAUGGCUUAUAUCAGUGAUAUUAGCUAUGUGUGUGGACGGAUAUACAUACGUGUGAGAUAAUUUGGGGUUGAUAGGAAAUCAUUAUUUUGAUGUUUUGUUAAUUGAAGUUUGAUCUUAUGUUCUAACUGCAAACAUGCAGCUCUAUGGUGCAUUCUUUUAUCUAUAGCAUUUGUGAUUUGGAAAUCAUUAUUUAGAACCAUGGUUUCUUAGGUCUGAUUACUUUGUGCAACAUUACAGAUCAAUUCCUAAUAUUAUUCAAGCAAUCUUAAGUUCAGGACACCACUAUGCUUCCAUAUGCAAUCUAAUGACUUUUUUCUGGUGUAUAUGGAAGGUGGGAAGUGACAAACAUUUUGGAAGAAAAUAGGGACAUCCAACUCAGGUGCAUCAAGCUGCUCAACCUAUAAUGAAAGGGCUUCAGGUAGAGUCCAAAGUUACAGGUUUUAUCGGUCCACCAUUCUGACAGAUAAUCAGGUACUUGCAAGAGCUGCAGAUUCUGGCGAAUUUCAAACCCGGGACAUUGUGAAAUCCAUUCAUAGAUAGGAGAAUACUUCAAUGUUUCCAGGUCUCUUAUGUUAAAGAUAAUCACAUCAAAAGAGAUUUGAAUGGUGUUGCUCAUAACUGUGCAAAGGACUCACUGAAAAAGCUUUGUAUUAGCUACCACAUACUGUAUUAGCUCAUAUGGUACUAUACUGUAUUAGCUCAUCUCAUAGGAGUAUCCAAUGUCCAGUGUUGCUCGCUUUGAGCAACUUUGUAAUCUAUGGAUUUCGUAUCCUUGAUGUAAGAUGCGUAUAAAAGUUCAAUGAAUAGCGCCCUCGGGCGCUCCU
rnacentral:lncRNA from 1 species